CCUACGGGAGGCAGCAGUGGGGAAUAUUGGGCAAGGGGCGCAAGCCUGACCCAGCAACGCCGCGUGAAGGAAGAAGGCUUUCGGGUUGUAAACUUCUUUUGACAGGGAAGAGGAGAAGACGGUACCUGUCGAAUAAGCCACGGCUAACUACGGGCCAGCAGCCGCGGUAAUACGUAGGUGGCAAGCGGUGUCCGGAUUUACUGGGUGUAAAGGGCGUGUAGCCGGGUUGAAAAGUCAGAUGUGAAAUCCUGCGGCUUAACCGCAGAACUGCAUUUGAAACUGUUGAUCUUGAGUACUGGAGAGGCCGCCGGAAUUCCUCGUGUAGCUGUGACAUGCGUUGAUAUUAGGAGGACCCCCAGUGGCGAAGGCGGUCUGCUGGACAGCAACUGACGGUGAGGCGCGCAAGCGUGGGGAGCAAACAGGAUUAGAUACCCCUGUAGUC
rnacentral:rRNA from 1 species